CCUUUGUACACACCGCCCGUCGCUACUACCGAUUGAAUGGCUUAGUGAGGUCUCCGGAUUGGCUUUGGGGAGCCGGCGACGGCACCUUAUUGCUGAGAAGCUGAUCAAACUUGGUCAUUUAGAGG
rnacentral:rRNA from 1 species